rnacentral:tRNA from 1 species
UGGCUGUGUGGUAAAGCGCUUGGCUUUCGAACAGGGAGCCCGGGUUUAAAUCCUGG